GGAAUGCUUGCUCUCCUGAAGGUGAGCGGCGGACGGGUGAGUAACGCGUAGGCAACCUGCCCUCAAGACUGGGAUACCUACCGGAAAAGGGAGUUAAUACCGGAUAAUUUAUUUCGCAGCAUUGGGGAAUAAUGAAAGACGGAGCUAUCUGUCACUUGGGGAUGGGCCUGCGGCGCAUUAGCUAGUUGGUGGGGUAACGGCCCACCAAGGCGACGAUGCGUAGCCGACCUGAGAGGGUGAACGGCCACACUGGGACUGAGACACGGCCCAGACUCCUACGGGAGGCAGCAGUAGGGAAUCUUCCGCAAUGGGCGAAAGCCUGACGGAGCAACGCCGCGUGAGUGAUGAAGGUUUUCGGAUCGUAAAGCUCUGUUGCCAAGGAAGAACGUCUUCUAGAGUAACUGCUAGGAGAGUGACGGUACUUGACAAGAAAGCCCCGGCUAACUACGUGCCAGCAUCCGCGGGAAUACGUAGGGGGCAAGCGUUGUCCGGAAUUAUUGGGCGUAAAGCGCGCGCAGGCGGUUCUUUAAGUCUCGUGUUUAAACCCCAGGCUCAACUUCGGGUCGCUCUGGAAACUGGGGGACUUGAGUGCAGAAAAGGAGAGUGGAAUUCCACGUGUAGCGGUGAAAUGCGUAAAUAUGUGGAGGAACACCAGUGGCGAACGGGACUCUCUGGGCUGUAACUGACGCUGAGGCGCGAAAGCGUGGGGAACAAAAAGCAUUACAUACCCUGGU
rnacentral:rRNA from 1 species